CAGUCGCCGCGGUAAAACGUAGGUGGCAAGCGUUGUCCGGAAUUGUUGGGCGUAAAGCGCGCGUAGGCGGAUCAGUUAGUCUGUCUUAAAAGUUCGGGGCUUAACCCCGUGAUGGGAUGGAAACUGCUGAUCUAGAGUAUCGGAGAGGAAAGUGGAAUUCCUAGUGUAGCGGUGAAAUGCGUAGAUAUUAGGAAGAACACCAGUGGCGAAGGCGACUUUCUGGACGAAAACUGACGCUGAGGCGCGAAAGCCAGGGGAGCGAACGGGAUUAGAUACCCCGUGUAGUCCCUGUCUCUUAUAC
rnacentral:rRNA from 1 species